GCACCAGACUCCUACGGGAGGCAGCAGUGGGGAAUAUUGCACAAUGGGGGAAACCCUGAUGCAGCGACGCCGCGUGAGUGAUGAAGUAUUUCGGUAUGUAAAGCUCUAUCAGCAGGGAAGAUAAUGACGGUACCUGACUAAGAAGCUCCGACUAAAUACGUGCCAGCAGCCGCGGUAAUACGUAUGGAGCAAGCGUUAUCCGGAUUUACUGGGUGUAAAGGGAGCGUAGACGGCGGUGCAAGCCAGAUGUGAAAGCCCGGGGCUCAACCCCGGGACUGCAUUUGGAACUGUGCUGCUAGAGUGUCGGAGAGGCAGGCGGAAUUCCUAGUGUAGCGGUGAAAUGCGUAGAUAUUAGGAGGAACACCAGUGGCGAAGGCGGCCUGCUGGACGAUGACUGACGUUGAGGCUCGAAAGCGUGGGGAGCAAACAGGAUUAGAUACCCGUGUA
rnacentral:rRNA from 1 species